rnacentral:rRNA from 1 species
GAUGAACGCUAGCGAUAGGCUUAACACAUGCAAGUCGAGGGGUAACGUGUUGGAAGCUUGCUUCCGAUGACGACGACCGGCGGAUGGGUGCGUAACGCGUAUGCAACUUGCCUCACAGUGGAGAAUAACCCGGAGAAAUCUGGACUAAUACUCCAUACACUCUUAAGUACGCCUGUACAUGAGAGGAAAGAUUUAUCGCUGUGAGAUAGGCAUGCGUCCUAUUAGGUAGUUGGUGAGGUAACGGCUCACCAAGCCGACGAUAGGUAGGGGUGCUGAGAGGCAGAUCCCCCACAUUGGGACUGAGACACGGCCCAAACUACUACGGGAGGCAGCAGUGAGGAAUAUUGGUCAAUGGAGGAAACUCUGAACCAGCCAAGUCGCGUGAAGGAAGAAUGUCCUAAGGAUUGUAAACUUCUUUAGCGAGCGAGUAAGGACUUCCACGUGAUGGGAGUUUGAAAGUAGCUCGAGAAUAAGUAUCGGCUAACUCCGUG